UCGCGCGGCGCAGAGGGAGCGGG
rnacentral:miRNA from 1 species